UACAGAGGUCCCAAGCGUUGUUCGGAUUCAUUGGGCGUAAAGGGUGCGUAGGCGGCGCGGUAAGUCGGGUGUGAAAUCUCGGAGCUUAACUCCGAAACUGCAUUCGAUACUGCGGUGCUUGAGGACUGGAGAGGAGACUGGAAUUCAUGGUGUAGCAGUGAAAUGCGUAGAGAUCAUGAGGAAGACCAGUGGCGAAGGCGGGUCUCUGGACAGUUCC
rnacentral:rRNA from 1 species